GAUGAACGCUGGCGGCGUGCCUAAUACAUGCAAGUCGAGCGAACAGACGAGGAGCUUGCUCCUCUGACGUUAGCGGCGGACGGGUGAGUAACACGUGGAUAACCUACCUAUAAGACUGGGAUAACUUCGGGAAACCGGAGCUAAUACCGGAUAAUAUAUUGAACCGCAUGGUUCAAUAGUGAAAGACGGUUUUGCUGUCACUUAUAGAUGGAUCCGCGCCGCAUUAGCUAGUUGGUAAGGUAACGGCUUACCAAGGCAACGAUGCGUAGCCGACCUGAGAGGGUGAUCGGCCACACUAGAACUGAGACACGGUCCAGACUCCGACGGGAGGCAGCAGUAGGGAAUCUUCCGCAAUGGGCGAAAGCCUGACGGAGCAACGCCGCGUGAGUGAUGAAGGUCUUCGGAUCGUAAAACUCUGUUAUUAGGGAAGAACAAAUGUGUAAGUAACUAUGCACGUCUUGAGGGUACCUAAUCAGAAAGCCACGGCUAACUACAUG
rnacentral:rRNA from 1 species